rnacentral:rRNA from 1 species
CCUACGGGAGGCUGCAGUGGGGAAUAUUGGGCAAUGGGCGCAAGCCCGAUCCAGCAACGCCGCGUGAAGGAAGCAGUCUUUCGGGUUGUAAACUUCUUUUCUCAGGGACGAAGAAGGUGAUGGUACCUGAGGAAUAAGCCACGGCUUACUACGUGCCAGCAGCCGCGGUAAUAAGUAGGUGGCAAUCGUUAUCCUGAUUUAUUGGGUGUAAAGGGAGUGGAGACGGGAGCGCAAGUCAGAUGUGAAAACUCAGGGCUCAACCCUGAGACUGCAUUUGAAUCUGUGUGUCUUGAGUGCUGGAGAGGCAAUCGGAAUGCCGUGUGUAGCGGUGAAAUGCGUAGAUAUAAGGAGGAACACCAGUGGCGAAGGCGGAUUGCUGGACAGUAACUGACGCUGAUGCGCGAAAGCGUGGGGAGCAAACAGGAUUAGAUACCCCAGUAGUC